CAAACACCUGCAAGAAAACAAAGUGUUAGUUAAUUAAGCCUCAAAGGAGACUUCUAGAAACAAUUGUAAGCUGAAAAUGACAAUGAUUUCUUCAAUUAGAGAUCCUGGACCAAGAUAAAAAUAUAUAUUCUUGGCAUUUUACAGAUUUUAAAAAGGCAAAAUAUUUCUUUUUUUAAAUAAGAAUGUACGAACCCAAUCCAAUAACUCAAACUCUGGCCUUACUCUCACUUGCCUGAAGAACCCUUUACAAAACAUUAAAUGGACCCACUUCAAGGCCACUUGAGAAGUUCAUCAUGUAACAGAGAAACAAAACAGGCCCCUGGGUGCUCUGUUUCAGGGCAUACUGCAUUUUCAGUACAUCAGGCACAUUCUAGUUAGGCAGCAUUAAUUCCCUGCUUCAUUAUGAACUAGGGAAUACACUGAAUAUGCUUCUCCCUCCAACGCUCUGUUGUACACCCUUUACAUCCCAGUUGAACACAAGCACCUAACGUUCACUCUUUCAACAGCUCUAGAAGAGUUUCUUUGACAUUUUACUCAGCUCCUGAACUAGGAAGAAUUACAAGCAGUAAAGCAAUUAAAUUAACAUGAAGGUGCUAUGAGUUUCUGCACUGAUUUUUGCUAUGGGAAGAUCUGGGGGAAUUAGGGUAUCCAGUAGAAAAAAUCAAGACAGUAGAUGGUUUGAACUCAGAUGAUAUUGCUGCAAAGAUUCUUUUCAGAAAUCCCUGAGUUUCUAGCAUAGUAACAUCUGCAUAAUCCUCCCAUGUAUUCAGAAGUGCUGGUUACCAAUACUCAUGCAGCAAUAUCAGAUACAAGUGUCUAAAGAACUUUUUUGCUCCACAGGCACCGUGCAGCAUGGCACAACUGGAGAUAGGAAAAGUAAAGAACAGGCUCUCACAGCUUAUAUUAGCAGAUGCACUAGGAAGUUAGUGGCAAAGUGAACAGAUCUGGACAUUCUAUCAUUUAAGACAUGCACAGGUGAUGUGAAGUUUGCUAAAAUCUAGCCAUGCAAGAGUGUAGCAUCUCCAGUGAUGAUCCCCUCCUUUAAAAGGGUCUCCGCAGGCAGUGAAAGAUGUAAGUGGGUAUUUUUAUACCUUUGGGAUUUGAUUCUUUCCACAGAUGGCUCUUUGGGAGUCAGCAGAUCACAGUACCCUAAGUACCAGCAAAACUGACUUUUGAAGCAGAACUACUGUUUCACCUUAACAAGUCAGUAUUAUAAAGCCUGUGGCCAUGGAACUUCCAAUGCAAAAAAGGUACUAAAGUCUCCUCAUCCAACCCUACUUCUACAUUUUUACCGUGACUCUGUGAAUGUAACACAGAUUUUACAGGAAUGUUCCCAUUUUCAAUAUUCUGAUGUCUCCCAUUCUGAAGUGGUUUGCUCGAGCCAUUUGCAGAUUGGAUUAACCGCUGGCGCUGCACAGUAUUGAAGACAAAACUGCUAAAUUUACAGUGGACAACAGCUAGUGGAAAAACCAUUCCUAUGUGCCUGGGUUUUCUACAUGAAAAGGAAAUAGGUGGACGGGCAAGCAGUGUGUGAUAUUUCCCUCUAUGAUAGAGUGGCCAUAGAGAUGAAUCUUUGAAGUAUACAACAGAAUCAUGGAAUCCUAAGAACUCUCCAACCUAAAUCUACUCUCUUUAAGUUUGAAGCCAUUUCCUCUUGUAUCACCAUAGAUCCUGCUAAAGAGUCUGCCCCCUUCUUUCUUGUAGCUUCCCUUUAGAUACUGAAAGGCUGCUAUCAGGUCACCUCACAGCCUUCUCUUCCCCACGCUCAACAGCCUCAGCUCUUAGCCUGUCCUCGUAGGAAAGGUGUUCCAUCCUUUGGAUCAUUUUUGUGGCCCUCUUCCGGAUGCACUCCAACAGGUGUAUUUCUCUCCUGUACUGAGGACAUCACAGCUGGAUACAGAACUCCAGGUGAGGCUUCACCAGCACAGAGUAGAGGGGCAGAUUCACCUCCCUCGACCUGCUGUCCACGCUUCUUUUGAUGCAGCUCAGGAUAUGGUUGGCUUUCUCUUGGCCUUGAACACCAUCAGGGAUGAGGCGUUCACACCUUCUCCAGGCAACAUGUUCCAGUGCAUCACCACUCUCUAAGUAAACAGUAUUUUCCCAACAUCUAACCUAAAUUUCCCCUUUUAGUUUAAAGCCAUUCUCCCUUGUCAUAAGAAGGCAGUCUCCCUCCAGCUUAUAAGCUCACUUUAAGUAUUAUAAGGCCAUAAUGAGGUCUCUCUGGAGCCUCCUCUUAUCCAGGCUAAACAAGUCCAGCUCUCUCCUUUCUUUAUAGGAGAGGUGCUCCAGCCUGCUGAUCAUCUUCAUUGCCCUCCUCUGGAUUUGCCCCAACAUUUCUGCAUUGUUCUUCUGUUAGGGCCCUAGGCCUGGAUGCAGUACUCCAGAUGGGGUCUUACAAAGGUGGACUAGAGGAGGACAAUCACCUCAUUCAUGCUGCUGGCCACCCCUCUUUUGAUGCAGCCCAAGAUAUGGAUGUCCCCUUAGACUGCAAGCAUGUCAGCAGCUGCUGGCUCAUGUUCCCAGGACCUUCUUGGCAGGCCUGCUCUCAAGGAGUUCUCCCAGUCGGUACAAAUACGUGGGAUUGUUCCAGCCCAACUGCAACACACUGCACUUGGCAUUGUCGGUUGGACUCACUAGGUUCUUGUGAGCUCACUUUUCAAGCCUAUCCAGGCAUCACUUCUUCCUAUUCAGCUGCACCCUUAAGUUUGUUGUCAUACAUGCAGAUGACAUCAGAAACCAAAAAACACCUAAAAAAUAAAAACCUUUAACAUCUGUAUUCUAAUACUGAAUCACCUUUUUCCUAUGUCCCCUCAAUACAUCAAUUCCCUAGCAGGUAUCCUCUAAAACUUGAUACGACUGUACCUCCAUGUAAGAGUGAUAGACUUCAAUAUAUCAUAGUCAGUGUUCACAAAAAAAAUCAUUGCAAAUGAGACAAACAUAUUUCAAAGACAUCUUCACUUAAUUAUGCUACCAUUAGAGUUACUUUAAAUUCAAUAUUAAAUGGCUGUCUAAACAACGUAAAUGAGUAUGUGCGCUAUCACUGUAUAAGCGCAAGUGAUGCUACCUACUUUUAAGAGAUCCUGGUAUAAGACCAAAAGCAGAAAAGAGCAGGAUUACCUGCAUCUGCUGUAAAUUCCUGUUUGUCAUUAUUUUUUACUACAUGGGGACCUUUCCAAAUUUUUCUUCAUUGUUGCUGAGCUCAUCUUCUAGAAUGUGAGAUGUUUGCUAAGAACACAGCAAGGAGAUCUCACUCAUAAAGAGUCGCUCAAGCUCACUGAACGAUAUAGCUGGAGCUUUGAACAGAGCAAUGAUUUUUCUCUAUAGAAAAAAAAAAGGGAAUAGUAGAAAGAAAGGCAAACAAGCUUAGAGAAAAAAAAAACCAAAAACAACCAAAAAGCAAAAAAACCAACAACCUGGGCAUGUUUUUUUACCUGCUGUACCUGAUGUUGAGUGUCAUCUUCUUACCCUUUAUGAUAACGAAACAAACAGUGAAGAAUCUGCAUUGGUCACUUUUACAUAUGUGCUUGGCAAUGUAUGCAGAGCUAUACAGGCAUGUCAAAAUCAGUCUUUUGAAGAUCUUCUGAACUCAACAUGUAAUCCCUUUUGCCCACUGAUCUGUGGCCUUUCUCUCCAUCUACACUCAACCUUGAGCUUUUAGUUCCAAACUAGUCAUUCUUUUUUUUCAAGUGAAAACAACCUUCUUCUUGGCAAAAAAAUAUUUCUUCCACAGCUGAACAGAA